UACAGAGGUGCCAAGCGUUGCUCGGAAUCACUGGGCGUAAAGGGCGCGUAGGCGGGAUGGCAAGUCGGUCGUGAAAUCCUUCGGCUCAACCGAAGAACGUCGGCCGAUACUGCCGUUCUUGAGGGAUGCAGAGGAGAUUGGAAUUCCCGGUGUAGCGGUGAAAUGUGUAGAGAUCGGGAGGAACACCGGUGGCGAAGGCGGGUCUCUGGGCAUCUCCUGACGCUGAGGCGCGAAAGCGUGGGGAGCAAACGGG
rnacentral:rRNA from 1 species